GUUGUUCGGAAUCACUGGGCGUAAAGGGCGCGUAGGCGGCCGAUCAAGUCGGGGGUGAAAGCCUGUGGCUCAACCACAGAAUGGCCUUCGAUACUGGUUGGCUCGAGACCGGAAGAGGUGAGUGGAACUGCGAGUGUAGAGGUGAAAUUCGUAGAUAUUCGCAAGAACACCAGUGGCGAAGGCGGCUCACUGGUCCGGUUCUGACGCUGAGGCGCGAAAGCGUGGGGAGCAAACAGG
rnacentral:rRNA from 1 species